GACGAACGCUGGCGGCGUGCUUAACACAUGCAAGUCGAGCGGUAAGGCCCUUUCGGGGGUACACGAGCGGCGAACGGGUGAGUAACACGUGGGUGACCUGCCCUCAGCUCUGGGAUAAGCCUGGGAAACCGGGUCUAAUACCGGAUAUGACUCCAUGACGCAUGUUGUGGGGUGGAAAGCCUUGUGCGGCUGAGGAUGGGCCCGCGGCCUAUCAGCUUGUUGGUGGGGUGAUGGCCUACCAAGGCACGACGGGUAGCCGGCCUGAGAGGGCGACCGGCCACACUGGGACUGAGACACGGCCCAGACUCCUACGGGAGGCAGCAGUGGGGAAUCUUGCGCAAUGGGCGAAAGCCUGACGCAGCGACGCCGCGUGAGGGAUGACGGCCU
rnacentral:rRNA from 1 species